rnacentral:tRNA from 1 species
GACCCCGUGGCGCAAGGGUAGCGCAUCUGACUCCAGAUCAGGUUGCGUGUUCAAAUCACGUAGGGGUCA